GUUGUCCAUCAGGAACCUUCAAGGCCAACCAAGGGGAUGAAGCCUGUACCCACUGUCCCAUCAACAGCCGUACCACCUCCGAGGGUGCCACCAACUGUGUGUGCCGUAACGGCUACUACAGGGCUGACCUGGACCCCUUAGACAUGCCUUGCACAACCAUCCCCUCUGCGCCCCAGGCUGUGAUCUCCAGUGUCAACGAGACGUCCCUCAUGCUAGAGUGGACCCCGCCACGAGACUCGGGGGGCCGUGAGGACCUUGUUUAUAACAUCAUCUGCAAGAGCUGUGGCUCAGGCCGGGGUGCCUGCACGCGCUGUGGAGACAAUGUGCAGUACGCACCCCGCCAGCUAGGCCUGACCGAGCCACGCAUCUACAUCAGUGACCUGCUGGCACACACACAGUACACCUUCGAGAUCCAGGCCGUGAAUGGUGUCACCGACCAGAGUCCCUUCUCACCUCAGUUCGCCUCUGUGAACAUCACCACCAACCAAGCAGGUGAGCCCCACGGGAACAUGGAGAGGGGAGUGACAGGGGCGUUGCCUGUGGCUUAAC
rnacentral:lncRNA from 14 species